UAGAUACCCUGGUAGUCCCGGCCGUAAACGAUGAUUACUGGGUGUGGGCAGGAAGACUGUCUGUGCCGAAGCGAAUGCGAUAAGUAAUCCGCCUGGGGAGUACGGCCGCAAGGCUGAAACUCAAAGGAAUUGACGGGGACCCGCACAAGCGGUGGAGCAUGUGGUUUAAUUCGACGCAACGCGAGGAACCUUACCAGAUCUUGACAUCCCGCGAACGCCCAUGAGGAUGGGCGGUGCCUUCGGGAACGCG
rnacentral:rRNA from 1 species